ensembl:lncRNA
CACAAACAGACCAGAGUUCAAUUCUGAGCAUUAUGAAUGGUCACGCUAAUUAAAUGCAGCUAAAAUACUGAAAAGGGAUGCAGAGAAGACAAAAUUAAUGAUAAAACACCCUCAGAGAGCAUAGGAGGAGAAAAAGCGCUGAUGUAAAAAGGCGAUUUAUGGUGAUUCUCCGGUUGCUGAAACAGAUGAAUUAUUGAGAACCUUACAGGAGAAAGGAACUUUAAGUUGGAAGAUUGAUGACUAAAAACCAUGGGGAAGUAAUCCUUUUUGCAUCAGUAUGGCAAAGCUCAGUCCUGGGAGGCAGGUCACCAGAGGUCAAGGCCUAAAGUGGAAACCCUGAGCUGGAGAACUCCUCUGAUCAACUCCUGCCCCCACACUGCCUUCUCUCCACUCCCUCAUUAACAAAAGGAAGCUGCAUUUCGGUGGUGUGAUUUCUCUCAGCUGCACAGUUUGGCUCCUAACCAAAAGCUUCAGCCUGAUGCAAAGAUAAAGAGGUUUCAGACAACGGUUAUUGCAGUUGGAUGGCAUUUCAAGAACUGAUCUCUAUCAGACGCCUAUGCCUUGCAACUUAAACGCAGUCACGCUGUGUUGCUGCGGAGUACAAGAAAAGCCUGAAAUCAGUGCUGACUGGGACUGAACAAUUCGAUUUCCAUUUCCAAGGUGAAGAUGCAAGUGAACAGUGUGGCUCAACAAACACUUCUGAAAAGCCUUGUCUUUUGGAUGAUCGUGGAACAUCCAGAUGAAAAGGGAUCUCAGGAAGCCAUCUCUACCAUCCCACUCUCUAGAGAUACGUUCAUUUUAUCUCUGUCAUUCCUGACUAAAUUUUCUCUGAUCACUUCUUAAAAAGAUUUACAAUCCCCGGGCAAUCUGACUUAAUGCAUCACUGUCCUCAUUUUUAGAAAGCUUCUCAUAAUGUCUAACUGAAGUAUUUACGCUGAAAUUGAAUGUCUUAUUAAUCUCUAAUAUCUUUGUGUUUGAAGACUCAUAUCUUCAUCACAUUUGCCUUCACUGCAGCGAGCACCUCCUUUCUCCAGCCUUCCCUUAAAGCCGUGUUUUUCCAGAGCUCCGAUCACACACAUUGCUCUCCCCUGAGCCUGAUCAGUGUUGUAUCCCUCCUGAGCACGGUGCCCCAAGCCAGACUCGUGGAGCUCCAGCUGAGUUUUGCCAAGACUGUGAAAAGUGGAAGAAUUACUCCACGUACUUUAUAGCCUCCUUUUUAUAGCCUCAUCUCAGUAUGAAGUUUGCUUUUUUUGAAACAGUAUGUAAGCUCCAGAAGGUUUCUGCAGGGCACCUCCCUACUCUUUGCUCCUCGGUCUGCUUUUGCAGUUGAUCAAACAGAAAACCUUGCAUUUUUUACUCUUUAAUAGCGUCUUACUUUUUUUUUCCCCUAACAAUUAGUGUGCAGUGUGUGUUGUGUUCUAACCCGGCAGGUGGCUGAGCUCCACACAGCUGUUUGCUCGUUCCCCUCCUUCCGAGUGGGAAUGGAGAAGAGAACUGGAGGGAAAAAACGUAGAACUCAUGGGUUGAGAUAAAACUAUUUACUAAGAUACAGAAAAGGAAAAGGACAAUAGUUAUGACUCUCUCUCUCUCUCUCUCUAUAUAUAUGAAUGUAUGUAACAAGAAACACAUAAGCAAUUGCACACCACCCGUCAACCAUUGCCCAACUUGCCCUCUGAGCAGCGGAAGAGGGAGGCCUUGGCUCUGUAUAACACUGUGUAGCAGCAACUAUAAACACUGGUGUGUUAUCAGCAUUGUUUUCAUCCUAGAACUAAAACCAGCAUCAUUCCAGACACUCUAAAGAAAACAAUUCCAUCCCAGCUGAAAUUUAGACAAUGUGGCAUUGCUCAUUUGAAUAUUAAACUCAUAUUUCU